AAUUGCCUACCAUCUGUAAGCUGUUAUUGUCUUAAUGACCGUUCCACAGGUGCAUGUUCAUUCAUUGUUUAUGGUUCAUUGAACAAGCAUGGGAAACAGUGUUUUAAACCCUUUACAAUGAAGAUCUGUGAAGUUAUUUGGAUUUUUACAAAUUAUCUUUGAAAGACAGGGUCCCGAAAAACGAGAGAUUCUUUUUUUUUUGCUGAGUUUAUAUUUACACACACACACACCUAGUCCUAACCCCAGGAACAUAGAGAUGCAGUAUAUAACCCUAACAACCUUAACUAUGGGACCAAUAUUAAAUUCAUUAGAUAUACACUGAAAUUCCUAUUUUCCUCCUUUCAAAGCUUGUCUGUGUUCCAACUAAAGAUCUGUGUGAUUUGCCUCUAAGGCACUGGCCUACUCCGACCUAUUGGACCGAAACGGUCAUGUGUGGUAGAUGUAGGAUUUAGGAGAGGAGACUGGACCGGAUGGAGAUGAGUGUGGUAGAUGAAGGAUUUAAGAGAGGAGACUGGACCGGAUGGAGCUGAGUGUGGUAGAUGAAGGAUUUAAGAGGAGACUGGACCGGAUGGAGCUGAGUGUGGUAGAUGAAGGAUUUAAGAGAGGAGACUGGACCGGAUGGAGCUGAGUGUGGUAGAUGAAGGAUUUAAGAGAGGAGACUGGACCGGAUGGAGCUGAGUGUGGUAGAUGAAGGAUUUAAGAGAGGAGACUGGACCGGAUGGAGCUGAGUGUGGUAGAUUAAGGAUUUAAGAGAGGAGACUGGACCGGAUGGAGCUGAGUGUGGUAGAUGAAGGAUUCAAGUAGACAUCAUCGCCAGGCCAUGGUAAUUAGGCUGCUGUGGUGAUUUUCUAAAAUGUAUUUUACCUUUAUUUAACUAGGCAAGUGAGUUAAUGUAACGGAUGUGAAAUAGCUAGCUAAUUAGCGGUGGUGCGCGCUAAAUAGCGUUUCAAUCGGUGACGUCACAUGCACUGAGACCUUGAAGUAGUGGUUCCCCUUUGCUCUGCAAGGGCCGAGGCUUUUGUGGAGCGAUGGGUAACGAUGCUUCGUGGGA
rnacentral:lncRNA from 13 species